AUGAGUUGCUUUCAGUUUCCGCUCUCUACUUGCGAGACGUUCCGUCAGAUUGUUGCUGAUCAUUGGUGGGGAAGAGAAAAUGGAAAGAAAAAAUUACAUUGGCGCUCGUGGGAGUGGCUCACGGCCCCCAAAUCUCUUGGUGGCAUGGGCUUUCGUGGCAUGGCUCUUUUCAACCAAGCUAUGUUGGGGCGGCAGGGGUGGAUGCUCCUCACCUCCCCGGACUCUCUCUGUGCACGGGUGCUGAAAGGCCGGUACUAUCGUAAUGGUGAUUUUUGGCACGCUGAAGCUCCGCGGUCUGCUUCUUUUACGUGGCGGAGCAUUCUGUUUGGUCGUGAUUUGCUGAACAAGGUGUCACUUGGGGUAUUGGCGAGGGCUGACAGAUUCGCAUCAUUUCAGAUCAUUGGAUACCAUCGACUCCGCCAAAUAGGCUACAAACGCUUCUACCUAUCCCUGAUAAUGCCACAGUCCAUUGCUUGA
rnacentral:rRNA from 1 species